ensembl:rRNA 5S_rRNA 5S ribosomal RNA
AUCUAUGGCCAUAACACCCUGAAAGUGCCUGAUCUUGUCUGAUCUUGGAAACUAAGCAGGGUCAGACCUGGUUAGUACUUGGAUGGGAGACUGCCUAAGAAUACCGGGUGCUGAAGAGU